UCUCUUUUUCUGAUUUUGUCCCUCAGUCGAAUUAUUUCUUCUGAGGAGGCAAGGACUGAAGUUGCUACAGACCCCUAAGGACAGGCCAUCGGUAACACUGGGUAAAUCAGAUCUCUUCCACGGGUCUAUCAAUGAGAAGAAAGUGCCAACUGAAAACUUUUAGAAAAUACCCAGUUUACUCAAGGAAAAUAACAUGCAUUGAAGGUGAUUGCUCAAUAGAGAGAAGUUGAAACAGCAGACUAAUUGCCUGUUUGUGACACCCAUGUAAUCAACUUGAGGAAAAGGCGGUGUGAAGACAGAACAGAGAUAUUUAAAGAUGCUGGCCUUAAAGAUUGGAUUGAUUCAGCCCCAAGCCAAAGAAUCCUGGAAACCACCAGAAGUUGAAAGAGCCAAGGACAAAAUUCUCCCCUACAGCUUCAGGAAGGGGAAUGGUCCUUCUUUGAUUCUGGCCUGUGAUCCUGAUUCAGCCUUCUGCCUUCCAGAACUGUGAAAGACUAAAUCUGUUGUUUUAAAUCACCACAUUUUUGGUGAUUUGUUACAGCAGCCAGAGGGUAAUAAUAACAUCUAGGUUUCUUUUUCCUGUUGGUGUUUUCUGAAAUUCUUGGAACUGUGAUUUGGUGUCUGUCACUAAUUUUGGAAAAUGCUCAGCCAUUAUUUAAUUAUUUCUUCAAAUAUUUUCUUCUGCUCUGUUCUCUCUUCCCUUCUGGAAUUUCAUUACAAAUGUGUUAGACCAUUUGAUAUUGUCUCAUAGCUCUUGGAUCUUCUGUUUUUGUCCUCUCUUUUAUCUCUUUGUGUUUCAGUUGAGGUAAUUUCUGUUGACAUGUUAU
rnacentral:lncRNA from 1 species